CACGUAGGGCGCAAGCGUUGUCCGGAAUUAUUGGGCGUAAAGAGCUCGUAGGCGGUCUGUUGCGUCUGCUGUGAAAACCCGAGGCUUAACCUCGGGCCUGCAGUCGAUACGGGCAGACUAGAGUUCGGUAGGGGAGACUGGAAUUCCUGGUGUAGCGGUGAAAUGCGCAGAUAUCAGGAGGAACACCGGUGGCGAAGGCGGGUCUCUGGGCCGAUACUGACGCUGAGGAGCGAAAGCGUGGGGAGCGAACAGG
rnacentral:rRNA from 1 species